rnacentral:rRNA from 1 species
UACGUAGGGAGCGAGCGUUGUCCGGAAUUAUUGGGCGUAAAGAGCUCGUAGGCGGUCUGUUGCGUCGGCUGUGAAAACCCGGGGCUCAACCCCGGGCCUGCAGCCGAUACGGGCAGACUAGAGUUCGGCAGGGGAGACUGGAAUUCCUGGUGUAGCGGUGAAAUGCGCAGAUAUCAGGAGGAACACCGGUGGCGAAGGCGGGUCUCUGGGCCGAUACUGACGCUGAUGUGCGAAAGCUAGGGUAGCAAACGGG